UACGGGGGGGGCAAGCGUUGUUCGGAAUUACUGGGCGUAAAGGGCUCGUAGGCGGCCAACUAAGUCAGACGUGAAAUCCCUCGGCUUAACCGGGGAACUGCGUCUGAUACUGGAUGGCUAGAGUUUGGGAGAGGGAUGCGGAAUUCCAGGUGUAGCGGUGAAAUGCGUAGAUAUCUGGAGGAACACCGGUGGCGAAGGCGGCAUCCUGGACCGGCAUUGACGCUGAGGCGCGAAAGCCAGGGGAGCAAACAGG
rnacentral:rRNA from 1 species